GUUUCCAGCGUCCUAUCAACAACUAACAAUACCGACGAAGCAUUGACAACAAAUGGUGCAACCAAUGGCGAGGAAUCGACAACAAACGAGCUUGAGGUGUCAUUCGACAUCACGGACCGUGGAAGCAUCAACCAAACCAGAGAGGUCGCUGGUAUAUCUUUACCAGAAGACCAACUCAACAGGUCAGUAAUAGCUGAUCAUGAAGUGACAUAUGAAAUAGUUGAGAAUGGGACGAAGAGAGGAAAAGCAAAAUUGGUGACCUACGAUGGAUUUUCCUUCACAGUAAAGAGAUCAUCACCUACUUCUACAACCUGGGUUUGUUCCAGGAAGUGCAAAAGCUUACCAUGUUCAGCCACAGUCAUGCAACGGGGGACAGAUUUCAUACCAAGUGGCAACCACAUCCAUGAUUGUGAUCCCGGGAUUAUGAAGGUUACCAA